GGAGAGAUGGCUGAGUGGUCGAAAGCGCACGACUCGAAAUCGUGUAGGUUCGCAAGAGUCUCGGGGGUUCGAAUCCCCCUCUCUCCGCCA
rnacentral:tRNA from 1 species